AAGUCUUCAUGCUUAAGUUACCUUACUGUGAUUUUGGAUGCCAUUAGGUUUUGUUUCUCGAAAAUUUUUAAUCAACAAAUAGCCACUGUGGAAUCUAUCAUGAGGGAUAAGAUGCCCAGAAAGGGAGGAAGAUGGUGGUUUUCAUGGAGGGGAAGAAAUACCACAAUCAAAGAGGAAAAUAAGCCAGAGCAGUGCUUGGAUGGAAAGAGCCGCAGUCCCGGGGAGCAGCCAUCACAGCUUAGCAUGGCCACCAG